GAUCUUUCACUGGUCAUGGAGGUUCUGAGCUGCCCUUAGUCUGACCCACCACCUAGAACCUGUUUGCCUAGGGAGACCCUACAGGGAGCACAAAGCCCCCGACAACAUAGCUCCUAGCAUCAUCCGGGUACGCAAACUCCCCCACCACGAUAAGGUGGCAGCUAAACGAGGGGCCUGUUUGA